CUACUGGGUACAACAAGAGGUCUGCUCUUAGCAAACCUGAACCAAUAGAUGGUGAUGAAGAGAAAAAUCAGGUUCACGGUUCUGCAUUGGUGUUAGAAUCAUCGAUCUCAUCGGAUAAGAUCCGACAUUGUAUCACUUCUCAGGGCAUUGAUUUGUUGUCGAUGAUGAUGUGGAUAGGUGUCGAGGGAGAAGAUGUGGGAAACAAAGGAGGGGAUUCGGAUCCUGAAAUUUUGAGAUGAAGCUGUGCCAAAACUUCAUCAGCCUGAAAAGGUAAGUGAUGGACUGAUAGUGAUGGUCACUUGAGAGGAUAUUCAUGAGCCCGGCAGCUGUGAGUACUGGAAAUCUUAUCCGCAAAUGGAUGGCGAAUGCUGGUGACUUGAUUUCUUGGGUCGAGUAAAGGGCAGGAAUGCCAGUGCUGAGGCUCUACUAAUUGGUUAUCAUUUGGUAUUGUUCUUUUUCCCUAAUUUCUUACUAAACUUGUACUGUAGUACUAUGAACAACAGGCGCAACGGUUCCAUUCCCCUUUUUCUAUUUGGUCUAACGGGAUACUGUGAUAUCUGUACUGAAGAUUUUGAGUAUCAAUGGAAAGUUGAGAGAACUAAAGCGGCCUGUUGAGUGGUGUGACAAUGCAAGAUGGGCUUAAACUGAACUCGAUAGAAGUUACAGCGGAGCACUUGCAGCAGCUCAGAUAUGACCCGAAGUCAGUUUGGGGUUAUGUUGAGAUUCACAUUGAACAAGGUCAUGUACUAGAAGUGGUUGAUAUUCCUCUAGGAGUUGUUAAGAGGCAUAGCUGGACAGACGAGACCAAAAGGUAUCAAAACUGUCUCAGCUUUUCAUCGGUGCAUGUCUGAAUUCCUUUUCAUUUAUUCAUACAAACAAAAAAAAUGUCCAUAGUUUGCAGUCAGACUACGCAACUAAACAUGUAUGUCUGGAACUCAUUCAAAAAGGGUCCAAAACUUUUAGGUCUGAAGUAUGCGAAAUCUUAUCUUUAUGAGAAACUACACAUUUUUCAUGAGCUCCUCAUAGGGGAAAAUUUCUGUAUAAUGAAUCAUGAAGUUGAAUACGAAGCUUCUUUGUAUGUUAUAACAGAAUGUUUUUUAUCAUACAGAAGUUGAAGUGUAAAGCAGUAAACUAAAAUGAAUUAUAUUAACUUUAUUUUGGCUGAGCGAUCCAAUAUACAUGAAAGUUUUAGAUUACAAUAAGAGGUUCCCAGGGGCUUGCUGGAACAAUUCCAAUGUCCCUGUGUGGUGACCCUAUGGCUGCUGCGCGGAAUCAAUUUAUUUUUGGAAAGCAUCUUGAGAUAUCCUCUUCGCCAAGUGCAAAUAAGCCGAAGUCUGCAGCUUAUAAUGGCCACAAGAGUGACAGGUUCUGUUCAUGGUGAAGUACCUGUAUUGAAGAGUGGGGCAGGACAUGAUGCAAUGGCUCUCUCUCCUUCAACCAAGGUUUGUUAUCUUGAAUUUGCACGAUGAAUCAAUGAACUCUAUGUUACUGUGUGUAUAAUUCUGGUGUCUGAAA